CUCUCUCUGUGCGUCUAAAACGACAUAGAUUAUGCAUGUUCAACUGGAAUUUAAUAAAAUAAACAUAAGACAUAGCAUAAAAAUUAACCAAAUUCGUUCAAACAGCUUAAUUACUCAUUUAGUUCAGUAACAGAAUAAUUUCGCACAGCUUGGGUACUGAGUCACACUUCUUUUAUUGAUUAGUACUAUAUAUUUUCACACAAAUCACACUUCUUUAUUGAUUAAGUGGUCAUAACUAUCCAGUAAGUUUUGUUGAUGGCUAGUCCUAGUGGACCAGAUGGACUUUUCUUUCUUUCUAGAUGGACAUAUUUAUUUCUUCGUUAAAUGGACCUAUUUGAAUUAGGGUGAGAUUAACUUAUUGGGAAAAUUUGCUUGACUGUGCAUUUCAAGCCGCUCUGGGCUAAAAACUGUCCUAGGUUUGGCAUAGCACAUGCACUUUGUUUGGGGCUUGCUCCAUGGCUUGCUGCAGAUAUUCCAAUUCUUGUGGACUCCGGCAUGAUUAAGCACAAAGAUGACGCAGCCCCAUCUGCUGAAUCUUAGUCUAUUUUUAACAAGAUGGAAGGUGAACUCAGAAAUGACUGAGGUUAAUGCGUCUGCCCUCUACAAUAUCUAUCUUAUUAAAACUGAAGUACAAAAUGAGAUUGUUUGGAAACAUGUAUAUGAGUUUAAAAAAUAAGAGUGUUUGGUAACAUGGAUUGUAGUCUUUUAAAAAAAUAUUACUUUUGUUUGGAAAUAAAGAUAGUAGUAUUUAGCAAAAAAA